GACGAACGCUGGCGGCGUGCCUAAUACAUGCAAGUCGAACGAAGCUGUUUUAACUGGUGCUUGCACCGACUUAAACAACUGAGUGGCGAACGGGUGAGUAACACGUGGGUAACCUGCCCCAAAGCGGGGGAUAACAUUUGGAAACAGAUGCUAAUACCGCAUAACCACAGAAACCACAUGGUUUCUGUGUCAAAGAUGGUUUCGGCUAUCACUUUGGGAUGGACCCGCGGCGUAUUAGCUAGUUGGUAAGGUAAUGGCUUACCAAGGCAAUGAUACGUAGCCGAACUGCGAGGUUGAUCGGCCACAUUGCGACUGCGACACGGCCCAAACUCCUACGGGAGGCAGCAGUAGGGAAUCUUCCACAAUGGACGAAAGUCUGAUGGAGCAACGCCGCGUGAGUGAAGAAGGUUUUCGGAUCGUAAAACUCUGUUGUCAGAGAAGAACGUGUGCGAGAGUAACUGCUCGUGCAGUGACGGUAUCUGGCCAGAAAGCCACGGCUAACUACGUGCCAGCCGCCGCCGUAA
rnacentral:rRNA from 1 species